rnacentral:lncRNA from 1 species
UUCCUGUCAUUACGUGUCACACAUCGAAUUGUCCUUUUUCAAUCUUAGGCAUUUUAUGAUUUAACCAUCUAUAAAGUGACAAAAUCCUUCACACGUCAACUUGUUUUAAAUUAUAAUAACAACAUAUAAAGGCAACAGUAGUAUACCCUUGUUUGGAAGUCUUAAAUUGAUUGAGACAAAAACAAAUCCGGGUUACAAACUAAAACUGAGGGAAACACAUUAACUAUAUAUAAGAGGAAAAUAACGAAACAACAGAAACACUGAUGGGAACAAAAAAAAACAAAUGCAGCAC